CUUGCGUUCUAUUUUGUUGGUUUUCAGAACGAAAGUAAUGAUUAAGAGGGACAGACGGGGUCAUUUGUACUGCCACGUUAGAGGUGAAAUUCUUGGAUCGUGGCAAGACAAACUACUGCGAAGGCAUUUGACAAGAAUGUUUUCAUUAAUCAAGAACGAAAGUUAUGGGUUCGAAGGCGAUCAGAUACCGCCCUAGUCAUAACCGUAAACGAUAUAGACUAGGCGUCUGCUCGGGUUUAAUAUGACCGAGUAGAAGUCUUCCCGGAAACGAAAGUCUUCGUAUUCCGGGGGAAGUAUAGCUGCAAAGCCGAAACUUAAAGGAAUUGACGGAAGGGCACCACCAGGGGUGGAGCCUGCGGCUUAAUUUGACUCAACACGGGGAAACUCACC
rnacentral:rRNA from 1 species